CGAACGCUGGCGGCGUGCCUAAUACAUGCAAGGUCGAACGGUCUUUCUAUGGAAGCUUGCUUCCACUGAGAAGAUAGUGGCGAACGGGUGAGUAACACGUGGGUAACCUGCCCAUAAGAGGGGGGAUAACAUCCGGAAACGGGUGCUAAUACCGCAUAGUUUUCUUGAUCGCAUGAUCGGGAAAGGAAAGACGGCCUUUGUGCUGUCGCUUAUGGAUGGACCCGCGGCGUAUUAGUUAGUUGGUGAGGUAACGGCUCACCAAGACGAUGAUACGUAGCCGACCUGAGAGGGUGAUCGGCCACAUUGGGACUGAGACACGGCCCAAACUCCUACGGGAGGCAGCAGUAGGGGAUCUUCCGCAAUGGACGAAAGUCUGACGGAGCAACGCCGCGUGAGUGAAGGUAAAAGGGUUUUCGGAUCGUAAAACUCUGUUGUCAGAGAAGAACAAGUUGGAGAGUAACUGCUCCAGCCUUGACGGUAUCUGACCAGAAAGCCACGGCUAACUACGUGCCAGCAGCCGC
rnacentral:rRNA from 1 species